rnacentral:rRNA from 1 species
CCUACGGGUGGCUGCAGUGGGGAAUAUUGCACAAUGGGCGCAAGCCUGAUGCAGCCAUGCCGCGUGUGUGAAGAAGGCCUUCGGGUUGUAAAGCACUUUCAGCGGGGAGGAAGGCGGUGAGGUUAAUAACCUCAUCGAUUGACGUUACCCGCAGAAGAAGCACCGGCUAACUCCGUGCCAGCAGCCGCGGUAAUACGGAGGGUGCAAGCGUUAGUCGGAAUUACUGGGCGUAAAGCGCACGCAGGCGGUCUGUCAAGUCGGAUGUGAAAUCCCCGGGCUCAACCUGGGAACUGCAUUCGAAACUGGCAGGCUAGAGUCUUGUAGAGGGGGGUAGAAUUCCAGGCGUAGCGGUGAAAUGCGUAGAGAUCUGGAGGAAUACCGGUGGCGAAGGCGGCCCCCUGGACAAAGACUGACGCUCAGGUGCGAAAGCGUGGGGAGCAAACAGGAUUAGAUACCCUUGUAGUC